rnacentral:rRNA from 1 species
CCCUUAGAUGUUCUGGGCUGCACGCGCGCUACACUGAAGCGUUCAACGAGUAUUCACCUUGCCCGGGAGGGUUGGGUAAUCUUUUGAAAACGCUUCGUGAUGGGGAUAGAUUAUUGCAAUUAUUAAUCUUCAACGAGGAAUUCCUAGUAAGCGCGAGUCAUCAGCUCGUGCUGAUUACGUCCCUGCCCUUUGUACACACCGCCCGUCGCUCCUACCGAUUGAAUGGUCCGGUGAAAAUUCGGGACUGUGGCAAUGUCUUCUUUAUUGAAGACGCUGCCGUGGGAACUUAUUUAAACCUUACCAUUUAGAGGAAGGUGAAGUCGUAACA